rnacentral:lncRNA from 1 species
GAGGUACGUCAUAUUGCGCUUUUAAUCCGAACUUCGAAUAAAGCUUUAUACCAUUUUUUUAAUUAGCACAUAUUAGUUUUAAGUUAAGUGGAUUAGGAUCUAGAUUCAAACACUUGCCAAGCAGUAGAAAAAAGGAAAAAUGGUAAAGAAAGGUAUCCCAAAAAAAGUCGCUGUAAGGCAUACUGGUAAUAUGCUCUGUGUUUUCUCUAACCAGA